GACGAACGCUGGUGGCGUGCUUAACACAUGCAAGUCGAACGGGAUUUAGUAAACAGAAGCCUCGGUGGAAGAUUACUAAUGAGAGUGGCGAACGGGUGAGUAACGCGUGAGCAACCUGCCUAUGACAGUGGGAUAGCCUCGGGAAACCGGGAUUAAUACCGCAUAAUAUUGUAGAAACACAUGUUUUAACGGUCAAAGAUUUAUCGGUCAUAGAUGGGCUCGCGUCUGCUUAGCUAGUUGGUGAAAUAACAGCCCACCAAGGCGACGAUCAGUAGCCGGUCUGAGAGGAUGAACGGCCACAUUGGAACUGAGACACGGUCCAAACUCCUACGGGAGGCAGCAGUGGGGAAUAUUGCACAAUGGGGGAAACCCUGAUGCAGCGACGCCGCGUGAACGAAGAAGGUAUUCGUAUCGUAAAGUUCUGUCCUAUGGGAAGAUAAUGACAGUACCAAAGAAGAAAGCUCCGGCUAAAUACGUG
rnacentral:rRNA from 1 species